rnacentral:rRNA from 1 species
CUGAGCUGACGACAGCCGCAGAAACCAGGCCGCUGCAACUGUUUAUUAAAAACAUAGCACUCUGCAAACACGAAAGUGGACGUAUAGGGUGUGAUGCCUGCCCGGUGCUGGAAGGUUAAUUGAUGGGGUUAGCGUAAGCGAAGCUCUUGAUCGAAGCCCCAGUAAACGGCGGCCGUAACUAUAACGGUCCUAAGGUAGCGAAAUUCCUUGUCGGGUAAGUUCCGACCUGCACGAAUGGCAUAAUGAUGGCGGCGCUGUCUC